CUGGGGGAAGGAGACAUGUUCCCCGCCCGGGCUUUGGUCCGGGCUCAUGAAAGGCCUGGACAAACGAAGCGGGCCAUUCAAGGCAAUUGGAACAUUCUGAGGGAGUGGAAAGAGAGGUGUGAGCAACUCAGCAGUGGGCUGAACAGCUGGGCUCACAGACAUCAGCUUCAAGGUAAAAAAAGGCUUUUUUUAGAGCAGUU